rnacentral:rRNA from 1 species
AUUGAACGCUGGCGGCAUGCUUUACACAUGCAAGUCGAACGGUAACAGGGAGCUUGCUCCGCUGACGAGUGGCGAACGGGUGAGUAAUGCGUCGGAACGUGCCGAGUAGUGGGGGAUAACGCAUCGAAAGGUGCGCUAAUACCGCAUACGUACUGAGGUAGAAAGUGGGGGACCUUCGGGCCUCACGCUAUUCGAGCGGCCGACGUCUGAUUAGCUAGUUGGUGAGGUAAAGGCUCACCAAGGCGACGAUCAGUAGCGGGUCUGAGAGGAUGAUCCGCCACACUGGGACUGAGACACGGCCCAGACUCCUACGGGAGGCAGCAGUGGGGAAUUUUGGACAAUGGGCGCAAGCCUGAUCCAGCCAUGCCGCGUGUCUGAAGAAGGCCUUCGGGUUGUAAAGGACUUUUGUCCGGGAGCAAAUGCCUGGUGUUAAUAGCAUCGGGAGCUGAGAGUACCGGAAGAAUAAGCACCGGCUAACUACGUGCCAGCAGCCGCAGUAAUAC